rnacentral:lncRNA from 1 species
CUUGAUGGAUCCAGACUACGGAAACCACAACACAAAGAGAAGAAACUAACGGGGAAGUUUAAACGAACAAGCCUACCAAAAUCAAGGCAAGGCAUCAUCUAACUUUUUCCCCUCAGGUAUUGCCAAUUCUUGUCUUUGUUUAUCCCAUCCUCAUCUCCACCUAUUUACAGCUUCAGUCAUUCUUUGUGUGCUCAGCAUUCUCAUUGUUAUUUGCCAAUGCAGCAGCGCCACGCUGAACCAUUUGCAAUUGGAUUUGCAACAUCUGUGAAGAAGAGGUAUAACUUAUGAGUUCUGUUGGAUACAGAUUCAUAAUAUCAACGAAAGAAAGCUCUUAAGCAUGUCACUGAAAAAUAUGGUGAAAGCAAUACCAAUUAUCGUUCAUGCAUGAAUGCAACAACAGGCUGGUAACAUCUAGCAGCUAAGUGCUAAUUACCAGAGAAGCAUUUGCAUCUUGAGAAAAAUUGCAGAUUACGUAACGUGGUACCAAAGCUGACGACUAAACUGUUCAAAGCUGUGCACGUGCAGUCUACAGUAAAAUGCAGAUCAUAGAUCAUGAGCUCGUUCGCUUGGCUGCUGCGUUCGGCUUCUGGCUGCUGCGGCAGAGAGCCGAGCAGCAGCAGCCAGCCGAACGAGGCCCAUAAUUGUUAAAAGGGCUACUAAAGGUACUUGCAUGCUACGUACUAUUUUAUAGGAAUCAACAAACUAAUUUGCAUUAUUAUAAAUUGCAUAUUUGCAUGACACCCUCACAAGCAGACUGCUACAUAUCAAUAAUACUAGUAGCUUAUGUUAACGUAGGCAAGAAGUGUUAAAAACAUCACAGAGAACAGCUAGUGCAACCAACUCAUCUUCAUGUGCAAUAAUGCAAACUAUCAUGUGAAAUCGGUAGAUAGAUAGAUGCGAGUUGAUGGACAUUGUAGAUUCAUAAGGCACGUGCAGGAGUAGCCCUCACUAACGUUUUUCAAAUAACCAAUUGUGUGAUUCAGAAGCUGUCCAUCCAUGUCACAUAAGUUACCAUGAAUCUAAUAUAUCCAACUUAUCCAAUGGUACAUAUGGAAGCACCUUAUAGCUACAAUAUGUCAAACAGAAAUAUCCACGAUAUUGCAACUUGCAAGCAGUCAAUGUACACCUAUCUAGCACCUUAUAGCUCAUACACAUCACUUGUUGGUUGCAUCACGAAGUGAUGCAGAAAUAUGUAAGUGGAGUGCUUUUGGAAUCAAGAUUCUUUCUUACCUCUAUCUGGCUCUUUAUAAAGUUUUCUUGUGCCUUCUGCAGUGAAUUUUCAAGAUCCCUGGUGCUUGCUCCUGAACCAAUCGCACCAUGUGCAUUAAAAGGCAGAGGUGCUAAACCAUUGCUGGUGUUUUGGAACUGCAGUUCUUGGUCUUUCUGAGACUGAUUGGAGCUACUUGCUUCAGCUUGUGGUG